UACGUAGGGGGCUAGCGUUGUCCGGAAUCAUUGGGCGUAAAGCGCGUGUAGGCGGUCCGGUAAGUCCGCUGUGAAAGUCGGGGGCUCAACCCUCGGAUGCCGGUGGAUACUGUCGGGCUUGAGUACGGAAGAGGCGAGUGGAAUUCCCGGUGUAGCGGUGAAAUGCGUAGAUAUCGAGAGGAACACCUGCGGCGAAGGCGGGUUGCUGGGCUGAUACUGACGCUGAGGCGCGAAAGCCAGGGGAGCGAACGGG
rnacentral:rRNA from 1 species